GUAAAAAAUUUAUUAAGUUUUCAACAAAAUUACAUGAUUUAGAUCUACAAAUUCAGAUAUCUAAGUAACAAACUAAACAUUUAAAACAAAACUUAAGCCUGAGAACUUGCAUUGCAUAAUGAUUAGUAAAAAAAAUGCCAACAAAUAAACAAAAAGCUGUUACCAUGGUUAUAGAUUAAAGAUGACAACCAGAUAAUGAAAUAUACUGGCAAAAUGCAAAUAACUUUUUUUUAACAAUAUACAAUAUUAUACUUACAAUCCAUUUCAUGCUUAAUAUAAUAUAUUUUGUACUUGUACAAACUUAAAAGGGGAAAUAUAUAACUAAAUAUUAAUUAUUAUAAAUAGUAUUACAUGUUUUAACUUGAUGGGGCUUGCCAACUGAUACUGUUUAUCAUCAAAAAUUAUAAUGUAAGCGUCUCACUUCAUGCAUGAAUGAUUACAGCUUAUGUGAUUUGAUUGGAAAAUAACUACAUGGAAAAUGAUUUGGUGGCAUAGUGCAGCAUUGUCAAAAAAUAAUGGUGAACUGUAAAUUCAUUGAUUAAUGAGAAAAUGGGACAGUCUUAGGUUCUCCAUAAUAAUUUCAGUAGUGAUUUUCCUUGAUACAUGUAAAAUGUUUGCUUUCACAUUACACAUAUUUCACAUUUUUGUGUUUGUCAAGAAUUCACAUGGGUACCACCUUAAUGCUAGUUUAUGAUUUUACAGUAUAUAACUAUAUCUUACAACAGAAAAUGUAGACAAAAUAUUUUCCAUAUGAGUUUCAUCAAAAUUGAAACUUUUCAAUAACAAAUUAGUUUUGUACUAAUAAAAUUGAGAAUGGAAAUUGGGAAUAUGUCAGAGACAACAACCCGACCAUAGAAAAAACAAGACUAGUUAGAUUUGGGACCAUCACAGAAUAGACCACUCUGAUACUUGUGUCUGUUCUGGUUUUCUCCCUCCUUUUUUUUUUUUUUGAAAUUUUCACUUGUACCUGUAUAGAGAAUUACACAUUUUUCUCUACUUUUAAAUUUAUAUAUAGAAGUUAAAUAUGUGCAAGACAAAAUCUCAAAAAAGAAAAUUCACACUCAAUCUUGUGGAAUAAUUCUCUUUAUCAUGUAUGAAAGUUGCAUUUAUUUAUCAGGUAUUACGAUCAACUGCUGCAGAUUCACAAAUAUAAAUACACAGCUUAACACAACAGGGAGAUAACUCUAUAAAAUUUACCAGAAUUAGUUUUAAAUGUGGAAAGCAGUUGAAGUUGGAUGAAAACUUCAAUCAAUUAUAAUGGUUAAAAGUUGGCCAAUGAAAAUUCUGGUCAUUAAUUCAAAGUAUAGAUUUAAAGCAAAACUUUGAAGUUUGAUGUCUAUAACAGGAAGUUUAAUGACCGUGUGAGAAGACACAGGGUUGGGAGAGAAGUAAUGAGAGUGGUGUUGGGGAAACCUUUACUCUAACAAUAGACUAUGGUGAUCCCUUUGGGUUUUAUGAAAAAAAAAGAGAUUUUAACCUCAUAAACAACCUUGAUGAAUAUAAUAAUGGCACGUAAUAUAUCUAAACUAGGUUUUAUAUCAAAUUAUAUAUCUGACCAAUCUCUGGGAUUUUGUGAACACAUUGAUGUAUUUCUAGCUUUGCCAAGAAAAACACUUAUUUUUUAUGAAAAAUUUCUUCAACAAAAAUACAUAUCUUCAAAAAGUGAAUUUAGCAUGAAAAUAAUGAAUGAAAAAUGACUUUGUAGUUGAGACACAUUAAUAGGAAGGCUAUAAAAUACAUUGUGGCAAUUCACUGGCAAAAUUAAGUUAUGUCAAUUCAGCCAACCAUUUUUAAUUAAUUUAUUCUAACCCAGGGACCUUGUUGCAUAUUUUUCGUAAAAUAUAUGCAAUAAAAUUAAAACAUACAUAUGAAUAAAUCUUUGCAUGGAAAAAUAAUAAAGCAUUGCAUUGGUAUUACAUAUAUAUAUAUAUAUAGUUAAUUAAAUUGAAAUCACAGAUAAAGCAAGUUCAUAAAACAAUCCUAGUCACAAAUACUGUGGACUCUUGUUAAUAGAUCGAUUUCCAUUGACAAAAUUUGAGCAAGAUGUAACUUCCCUUUAGUAACCAAUUUGGAGCUCUAUAUAUACAAUUUCAUUUUUACACAAAAUUUAACUUGAUAUCUUGACAGCUAGAUAUUAGAAAAAGUUGCUUGUUUUCUGACAAAUUUGAAUUUCCUGAAGCUUUGUUUGUUUUUCACUACGAUCUAGUAAGGAUCUCUUAUCAGACCAGGCUGUAUAACAUGUUUCAUUUGGUUAGUCAAAUAAAAGUCAACUAUUAAAAUGGGGGCCAUGGGAAUUAACUCACUCAAAUUAUGUCAUAUUGAAACCUUUCUAUACCCUAACUCCAUCCUCAUUCAAAAGUAGUGCAUCAAUUAAGAUAAGUUUCCUUGGCCCAUCAGUAUGGUUACUUAUAAUUAUAACUAGAUAUUAUAAAGCAAUUAGUUUCUAACUAUUGUACAUGUGUAUUACUGUGUAAUGCAUAGACUAUAUGGACAAUAUAUAACAUAUUAUUUUCUUUAUACAUUAUUCUUGAUAACACAGUCAUUAUAUUGCAAGUAAAACCCCAUUUAUCAUACAUGAGGUAUUGCAUUUUAUUUAUUAAUAUAAUUUCAGUAUCUAUACAUACAAAUGUUGUGAUUUAAUUUGUUAUUUAAUCUAAAAACUUUUGAUAUACACAUCAGAUUAUAAUAAAAGGUACAUUGAAAUAAUAAAUUUGUCUGCUAUAAAUAAGGCUGAAUAAGCAAUAUUAUAUUGAUUUCUUUUAAAUUCACAAAUUAUUGUGUAAGCAACACAUUUAUUUUUUUUUUUUUUUUUUUUAAUUCUAGGUUCUUGUUUUGAAAAUUAUUCAUUUAUUUGAUCAUUUUACAUUUAAUUAAAAUGGUGAUAAACUUCAUUUAAUAAAUUUUAAAAAUAAAAUUCAAAUUGGCAUUGAUUCAAUACAUUUCGGAUUGAGCUUAAUUUCUAGACAUGGCAUGUAAAUACAUAAUUUUGUUGUUACAUAAAUGAGACAGAAUCCCUAAACAAAACAAUAAAUUCCCCAAAAAAUAUAAACAGACAAGUGCUUGGUAAUAUUACAUUUUUUAUAAAUCAUUUUAACCAAUUAGAAUCAGUAUACCCUGUUUCUAAACUCAUGAUCAGUCCCUUUUGACUUUGAAUAGCAAAAAAAAAACAUUUAAAAAAAAAUAUAUAAAUGAAAGUGUGUUUUAAUCUUCCAAAAAUUAACUAAUGCUUAGAAUUGCAAUUCAAUAGAUUUUGAAAACAAUAUUAGAAGCCAUUUUUUUGUCUGUGUGCAUUACUAAAUGCUGCAAAAACUUUUGAUUAGGCCAUACAAAAUAAUUCUUAAAUUCACAUCAACUUUCAUAAAAAAUUUGCAAACAGGUAAAAUGUCAUUAUAUUUUCCUGGUAUAAUCAAUUUCCCACUUGAAAAAUACAUAUUUCUUUUACUUUCUAAACAAAUCACUGCAAAAAAUAAAUACAGUGAAAAUCAGAGAUGUGAAUCUAGGAAAUUAUUUUCUCUGGCUUCAAAGAAUUCACCUUCAUUUACACAGGACUAGUAGAUUACAAUACUUAUUUUUUAGACUUAAAAAAUCAACUAAAUCCCCUAAUGCAGUUACUCUAGGAAGCCUGAGGAGUGAGGGGAAUAUGAGGUAGAAAAUGCAAGCAAAUAAUAGAGGCUAAUAAAACAUACUCUUUUUUCAAAAGGAGGUCGGUCAGGUCAUAAAAAAGAUAACAUUUGUUUGCCAUAAACCUACCUAACCUACCAGAAAAUAUUUACCUACUCAAAAUCUUUUCUUGUCUGGAUGUUAAAAAGUUGGGGUUGUUUUUAAUCAGUUGGCAUGAACACUAAAAACAGCUGACAGUUCAAUUUCUUCUUGCCGAAAAAUCCCAAGAAAAUGCCUACCUACCUACCCACAGUCUAAAUCUUUAGGUAGGGUUUGGGCCAACCAAAAUAUUUUAAGUGUGGCUUCAUAUGAGGAAACCAGGAAGAAAAGCAAAUUCUAUUAGGUCAUUUUAUUCCCCCCCCCCUUGAAAUUACUAGCAGUUACUAUUAUCUUUUGCUUGCCAAACUUUUGGCACUGACUUUCUUGCAAAUGAAAUGUUACAUGAAUAUUCAUGAACGGAAAAAAAAACAGUGAUGACAGUUAUACUAUUUUCAUGCAAAAUGUAUUAAAACUACAAAUUUGCUUUCAGCAUAAACAGAUCAACAUCAAAAUACAUGUAUUCAAAAAUGGAAAAAAAAUUAAAAAUAUAACAGACAUUUAGCUUUCUGUAUGGAGCCUUUCCAAAACAAUGCAUUUGAUCACAAAUACUGUAAAUUCAGAAAUUAUUGCGAAAAAUGUGACAGGGUUAUAAUCGCAAUAAUUUAAACACACAUUUUGAAAUAUGUUAUAUGAAUAACACAGGAUUUUUCUCAAUAUCACAAAAUUUAGUCUUAAAUGACAAAAUCGCAACAAUAAAUGCAUUCAAUUAUUUCUGAAUUUACAAUACAUUUGAAAACGGAAAAAAUAAAAAAUAUUACAGACAUGUAGAAUUCUGUAUGGAACAUUUCCAAAACGAUGCACAUGAUCAUAAAUAUUUCACAUCAGAAGAUCUACACUUAAGUUUACCUAGACUACCAUUAAUUUACUGUUGUAAAAUGGUGCAACUAAGAUGUAGAUUUUUGUAUUCAAGUUCAUCAUUAAUUAAGCUGCAAAACUAUCUGAGGCCAAGAAUUUUUCAUGUUUUAAAGCAGACCUUAAACCUAUUUUGACGUUAAUCAUUUAGCCAUACAUGAAUAAUAACAUUGGAACAUUAAGAAGCUGUGAAAUUUUAUAUGCAUAAUAAUUUUCACACACUUAAUCAAACUUAAGAUGUUUUUGAGGUAAUUUAAAUGAUGCCAAUACUAUAUGAAUUUGUAAUUUUUACCUGUUUGGAAAAUUGUAUAUUUCUUAACAAUUUUUUAUUUCAUUUGUUCAUAUAUGUGUGUUUUUUUAAUAUUUUGUAAUUGUUUGUUAUGUUUCAUUGUAUUUUAUGAGGGCCUCAGAUAAGAUUAGUUUUAUAGCUAACAGUGAAACCCAUUUUAAAUAAAGAAUUAUAAUUAUUAUUAUUAUUUUAAAUCUGUCAGGUACUGUAUGCAAUAUUUUAAUCAGUUUCGAUACAGCUUUAUCUCACUUCCAGUGGCCAACUUUUUUUCACAUUAAUCUCACUUGUAUUAAAGAAUUUAAAAAUUCAAAUUACUUCACUGGAUGAAAAUCUAUUUCAAGGAUUAACUGCUCUUUCAGACUCUUUUAUCAUCUAUUAAUUAAUAAGACUGCUACUCUAGAGUUGUAAAUGUUCUGAGGGUGUAUGUGUGCAAACAGAAAGCAAAUUACUACACUAGAUGAAAAUCCAUUUCGAGGUUUGACAGCUCUUUCAAGAUUUUUAUUAAUGCAAUCCUCUUUGAAUUUAUGUAUUUGGGAACAUGUCCUACAAUAAAAUUAUCUCACUUGACGAAAAUCUCUUUAAAGAUUUGAAUGCUCUUACAGACUUUUUUAUUUUUCUUUUGACGGCUCUUUCAGACUUUUUUAAUUAUUAUAGUAGUCCUCUUUAAUUUGUAUUUAUGUAUUUGGGAACUUGUCGAAAAAGUAAAAUUAUUUCACUUGAUGAAAACCUCUUCAAAGGAUUGACUGCUCUUUCAGACCUUUUUAAUUAUUUAUUAGUAAGACAGCUAUGCAAAUAUAUUUCGAGGUUUGACAGCUCUUACAAACAUUUUUAUUUGUGCAAUCGUCUUUGUAUUUAUGUAUCUGGGAACUAGUUCUUAAGUAAAAUUAUUUCACUUGACGAAAACCUCUUCAAAGGUUUGAAUGCUCUUAGACGUUUUUAUCAUCUAUUAAUUAAUAAUUAAUUAAUUAUUUUUAUUUUGCUAUUCAAGAAUUUUAAAUGUAUUUGAGGACUUGUACAGCAAUCAAAUUACAACACUGGAUGAAAAUCUAUUUCGAGGAUUAACGGCUCUUACAAACAAAAUUACUUCACUUGAUGAAAAUGUCUUUAAAGGAUUGACUGCUCUUUCAGACUUUUUUAAUUAUUUAUUAGUAAGACUGCUAUUCAAGAGUUUCAAAUUUUCUGAGGGUGUAUGUGUGCAAACAGAAAUCAAUUAUUACAUUAGAUGCAAAUAUAUUUCGAGGUUUGACAACUCUUACAAACAUUUUUAUUAGUGCAAUCGUCUUUGUAUUUAUGUAUCUGGGAACUUGUUCUUAAAAUGAUCUUAGACAUUUUUAAUUUUUAUUUUGACAGCUAUUUAAGAAUUUUAAAUGUAUCUGAGGACUUGUACAGCAAUCAAAUUACAACACUGGAUGAAAAUCUAUUUCGAGGAUUAACGGCUCUAACAAACAAAAUUACUUCACUUGACGAGAAUGUUUUUAAAGGAUUGACUGCUCUUUCAGACUUUUUUAAUUAUUUAUUACAUGUAUUAGUAAGACAGCUAUUCAAGAGUUUCAAAUUUUCUGUGGGUGUAUGUGUGCAAACAGAAAUCAAAUAAUUACAUUAGAUGCAAAUCUAUUUCGAGGUUUAACUGCUCUUAAAAACCUUUUUAUUAGUGCACUCUCAUUGUAUUUCAUGAACUUGUUCUACAUAAAAUUAUUUCACUUGACGAAAACCUCUUUAAAGGUUUGAAUGCUCUUAAGACAUUUUUAAUUUUUAUUUUGACUGCUAUUCAAGAAUUUUAAAUGUAUCUGAGGAAUUGUACAGCAAACAAAUUACAACACUGGAUGAAAAUGUAUUUCGAGAUUUGACGGCUCUAACAAAUAAAAUUACUUCACUUGACGAAAAUGUCUUUAAAGGAUUGACUGCUCUUUCAGACUUUUUUAAAUAUUUAUUACAUGUAUUAGUAAGACUGCUAUUCAAGAGUUUCAAAUUUUCUGAGGGUGUAUGUGUGCAAACAGAAAUCAAAUUAUUACAUUAGAUGCAAAUCUAUUUCAAGGUUUGACAGCUCUUACAAACAUUUUUAUUAGUGCACUCUCAUUGUUUUUAUGUAUUCAGAAACUUGUCGUAAAAUUACUUCACUUGACAUAAAUCUCUUUAAAGAUUGGCUGCUCUUAAAGACUAUUACAUUUCCUUUUGACUGCAAUUUAAGGAUUUUAAAUGAACUUGAGGACCUGCACAACAAUCAAAUAACCAACGCUAGAUGCAAAUAUAUUUCAAGGUUUGAAGAAUCUUGGAAAAGAGAAUGGAAACUUGUCCAGAAAUCAAUGACAAUGCUAGAUAGAUGACAACGCCUUUAACGGAUUGACGGCUCUUACACACUUUUUGUAGGAACAUGCCUAGAAAUCAAAUGACAAUGCUAGAUUGAUGUCAACUCAUUUAAAGGAUUGACGGCUCUUACACACUUUUUGUAGGCACUUGCCCAGAAAUCAAAUGACAAUGCUAGAUUGAUGCUAACUCAUUUGACGGAUUGACGGCACUUAAACACUUUUGGUAGGCUUUUGUCUAGAAAUCAAAUUAUUGGACUUGAUUCAGACUUGAUCAACAAUCAAAUUACAACAAUAGAUGCAAAUCCAUUUCAAGGUUUGAGGGAUGUUUGAGAAUGGAAAUGGGGAAUAAAGACAGUAAUGCAACCAAAGAGCAGAAAACAGCUCUAGGCCAAUAUUGGUUGUUCAAGAUAGGGAGAAAGUAGACAUACUUUUUAAUUAUAUAUUUGACUGCUAGUAAACAUUUUUUUAAAUUUCUGUGUGUAUGUUUGUGCUUUGGUUUUUUUUUUAAUGCAUAUAAAUAAUUUAUGAAUUAUACAGGAAUAAAUAUUACUUUUGGGGCCAACACAAUAAGUUAUUAGUGUAUGCAAUUUGUAAGUCAGUUUUCACAUAGCUCUUUCUCAAUUCACAUAUACAACUCUUUUCAAGAAGAAUCACUCUCUAUGUAUGUAUUUGAGAACUGGUACCAUUAUCAAUUCCUUACGUUUGAUGUGAAUUCAUUUCUAGGUUAAAAGGCUUUAACAAAUUGAUUCAUUUUUCAUUUCACUACUUUUCACCAGUUUCAAAUUAUCUAAGUAUAUAU
rnacentral:lncRNA from 1 species